GGCAGGAAAAAUAAGGGAAUAAGAGCUGCUUACCCCAGCCAGCAACGGCAAACAGCGCAGGUCCGCUUCCCGUCUGUGGAAGCUUUGUUCUUUCGCUCUUGACAAUAAAUCUUAAUGCUGCUCUCUCUUUGGGUCCAUGCCAUCUUUAAGAGCUGUGACACUUACAGCCAAGGUCCGGGGCUCCAUUCUUGAAGUCAGCGAGACCACGAAUCCACCGGAAGGAGCAAACUCUGGACAUGGCAUGUGCUUUUGCAGGAAGGACGCUGGACUCUUGCACUAUAAGUUGAAAACAUCGCUUAUAAACAAUACAUCACAGCACACUUGCAGAGAGAGCACUGAGGUAAUUAACGUCUGGGAGAAAGGAUGGAGAAACAUAGAGGAUCCCCAUGCUCAACGAAUAGAGUUCAUCAAAAUAAGAUAUGAUCAAGGUACAAAAGAGUUAAAGAAGCUAUUUAUUUUAAUGUUUCCUUGGAGAGCACACUUGUUAUUGUAUGUAUGCAAAAGAUGAUCUUACUCUUGAGAGCCACUAGAACUCUUUGAAGAAAAAAAAAUGCUAUUUGCUAUAGGGAAAUCUUUCUGGAAAAGUAAUAAUUUCACCUUUGAGUCAGCUUCCCUGGACUCUUGCCUCAUACAUCUUCAGCCAAGAUGCCUGCCCCAGCUUUGCCUUCCACCAUGAGUAAAAGCUUCCCAAGUCCUCCCCAGAAGCAGAUGCUGGCGCUAUGCUUCUGGUACAGCCUGAAAAACCUUGAGCCAAUUAAACCUCAGUGAGCUCAAGAUGUCUUUGUUGAAACAGAACCUCCCGAAGUUACAGUAUUGGUUUUGGGGCUCCACACAGAGAACACAUCACGGAAGCUAUAAUUGAGGAAGACAAAGCUGUCAGGACGACACCAAGAGAGUUAGAAAGCCCAAGAGUGGAGCAUUCUUCACCAUGAUUCCACCUGACACUUGGCUGAAAGCAUUUUGCACUAAUUUGCUUUGUGCCCGUUCAGACAAUCUAAAAAGAAAGGAUGGGGGGACAACAAGUGUCUAUUACACAGAAUAAACAGCCUCUGGCAAAUGAA
ensembl:lncRNA LINC02253 long intergenic non-protein coding RNA 2253